CAGUAGCCGCGGUAAUACGAAGGGUGCAAGCGUUACUCGGAAUUACUGGGCGUAAAGCGUGCGUAGGUGGUGGUUUAAGUCCGUUGUGAAAGCCCUGGGCUCAACCUGGGAAUUGCAGUGGAUACUGGGUCACUAGAGUGUGGUAGAGGAUAGUGGAAUUUCCGGUGUAGCAGUGAAAUGCGUAGAGAUCGGAAGGAACAUCUGUGGCGAAGGCGACUACCUGGGCCAACACUGACACUGAGGCACGAAAGCGUGGGGAGCAAUCAGGAUUAGAUACCCCCGUAGUCCCUGUCUCUUAUAC
rnacentral:rRNA from 1 species